AUUGAACGCUGGCGGCGUGCUUUACACAUGCAAGUCGAACGAAGUGGCGAACGGGUGAGUAACGCGUAAUCAACCUGCCCUUCAGAGGGGGACAACAGUUGGUAACGACUGCUAAUACCUCAUACUGAAGGAGGUGAUUGCGUCUGAUUAGCUAGUUGGAGGGGUAACGGCCCACCCAGGCGAUGAUCAGGAGCCGGUGUUAGAGGAUGAACGGCCACAUUGGGACUGGGACACGGCCCAGACUCCUACGGGAGGCAGCAGUGGGUAAUCUUCCGCAAUGGACGAAAGUCUGACGGAGCAACGCCGCGUGAGUGAUGACGGCCGUCGGGUUGUAAAGCUCUGUCAAUCGGGACGCGGUACCGGAAUAGAAAGCCACGGCUAACUACGUGCCAGCAGCCGCGGUAAUUC
rnacentral:rRNA from 1 species